UAGGGAAUCUUCCACAAUGGACGAAAGUCUGAUGGAGCAACGCCGCGUGAGUGAAGAAGGGUUUCGGCUCGUAAAACUCUGUUGUUAAAGAAGAACAUAUCUGAGAGUAACUGUUCAGGUAUUGACGGUAUUUAACCAGAAAGUCACGGCUAACUACGCGCCAG
rnacentral:rRNA from 1 species